rnacentral:lncRNA from 1 species
AUAGUAAUAUAAAAGUUUGAAUAAAUAAAUAAAUAAAUAAAUGAAAUAUAAAAAAUAAAUUUUUACGAAAGUAUUUUUCGGAUUCGUAGUUCCAUAAAAUUUUCGUCGUAACUCUGAACUCGAUUCAGCUUGCUCCUAUGCGUUCGUACCGUUGAGUACUUCGAGAAUACGAUAGAAUAGUAGCUCGUACGUGUCACGAAAUAACGGUCUACGAAAUUCAAUUAUCUCACCUCUAGGGGCAUUUUCAUCAAUUCACUCAUUUAAAAUUAAUAAAAUCGUAAAAUUAGGGAAGGAUUGUCACAAUCUACCCACCUUAAAAAAUUUCGUUCCCGAAAUUUGAAAUAAGUUGCUAUGCAUAAAAUACUCAAGAUAGAAAGAAAAUAUAUAAAGAAUAAAUCAAGCUAGAGCGGUUGCAUAAAAGAGAAUAACAUUCUGUUGCGAUUGGAUUGCAAUGGUUCCUCUUUCAUGCCUCCAAACUCAUACUUUCCUUCUCCUUCAGUAUAAUAUUAAAAUAUAAUACCUUUAUAAAAACAUAAGGUCAAAAUAUAUAUAAUAACAUAACGUCAACAUACAUAUAUACAAUAACGUAGUAUUAAAAUAGUUGUAUUGAAAUUAAAACUAAACAUAGAAAAGUUUUCCACCUACGCACUCAUUGCAUCAUGUAAUAUGAAGAUAAGUGUGUAGUAUCUCUGAGUCUAGCCCAAACAAUAAUUAAAUAAACGAAUAAAAUACCAACGUAGACGGACCUAUUUAUCCACUUGCAUAACGAACCCAACGAAUAAGUUAUUGAUACUACUAUCUACCUAUGGAAGUGAUUGAAAAGGUGGCUAGUCGAAACGGUUUUGUUUACCUAGAUAGGUGAUAAGGUAAAAACAACUAUGACUUUAUUGUCCUAAUACAAAGCUUGCUCCUAAAUUUCCAUGAUUUAGUUUCUUCGGCUCAGGUAGUCAUUGUUCGUGCUCGACGAGGUGGCAAGAUUCGAAAAUUGGGCUUAAGAAUCGAGAAUGCUUACAUCACACAUGUGAUGAACGCAAUACUGCCCAAACUUAUGCUCUGAUACCAAAUUGACACACCUCAACCCAGAAUGUCCAUCUGGACUCCAAAUCGAGCUAUGCUGACCGACACCCAGAGGGUAACGAAGUUAUAAAGUGUAGUGAUGUGGAAAAUGUGAAUAAAUUUAAACAUAAAAAUGCCAAAUACAAGAGUACGCUAGUGAGCGGGAAUGAACCCAUUUCACAUGUGAUGUCAGAGCAUAAGUAAAGUACAGUAAAAUAAGAUGAGAAUUAUACCAUCGAAGGUAAUCUCCGAUACCAUGAUUUGCCAAGAAUCCUCGUUGACACGAAUGCUCAGCUACUAAAACUUGGUGGGGUGAAAAACAAGGGUGAGUGGGCCUAAAUAUAAAACUUCGUAAAACCUUUUCAAAAACAUAAUAACCUCUUGCCAUAAAGCAAUUAUAGUUUCCAAAAUAUACAUACUACAUAUAGUAAGAAAAUACUUACCGUAACCUGCAAUAUUUCAAGAAUUUAAUACGGCAUAAUAUUUCGUAAGUAGACACAUGACGUUCGUAAUCACAUAAUCUCGCAUAAGAAAACAUAUCAUAUCAAGUGCUCAUCGACACAUGCUGACACACAAGUUCAUGCAGAGAUAUUCUGGCAUGAACAAGACUGGGUGUAACAAUGAUAUAUGCUUUAUUACUACAAUCACGUGAACACUGGUGCUAUGCACAACACAUACGAGUCCUAAUUGCGUAUAGUAAUCUAGGACAAGACUGGCACCUACAAUGGAUCCAAAGUGAGCGUACGGUGCGAUGUGCAUAUACACGUGAAAGAUUGGCCUUGGCUCGAGUGAGUACUAACACCGGUGCAGCAAACGAUGAGCAGAUAAUAUAAAUAUGGUCACACCACAGUGAUUCGAUAAUUCUAGUCAACAUAUAUUAUUCAUGGCUGCAAAUAUAAUUAAGGCAUCCCACAUAAACUGUGCAUCCCGCAAGAUUUUGAAUAAUUUCGUAAAUUCCGUCAUUUCGCUAAUUCUUGUAAACAUUAGUCUAAUCUAGGCAUAUGUAGGAAAUUCUUUUUCAAAUGUAUAAAUGGAAACUAACAAAUAUGUAUAUAGUAUAUAAAAGAAAAGACCCACUCACAUAUCAUGUUGUCAGGUCGAAGCUAUUCGAACUAAGAAAGCUAGAGUCAUCGAUAAUAAUCGCAUCUAAGCAUAAUAUUAGGACCCAUUAACAAAACAGCACUAAAAUAAUUAAAUUUGGGAAAACGGAGUGCGGAUUUGGAAUCAGGGCGUCGAAAUAUGUUAAGGAGGGUCCUCGGUAAAUUUUGGAAUUACACUAAAUGGAUGUCAAAAAUAGACUCGGGGCAUCGAAAUUAAUCUAGGAAGGUUUCUGAGAAAAUUUCCAACAACUUAAUAGAAAGAAUAUUUCAAAGAAUAUUUCAAUCCAUUUGGUAAAUGGACCAACUGGAUCUAAGGUUAAUGGGUCAUGGUUAAGAGAAUAUUCUAAUUUUUUUUUUGGUCGGUUGUUGCUGCAACCUCCAAAGACUGGAAGAAGGUGGCCGGAACUGGGAAAUCCAAAUGCUUUAACUAGUUCAUUUCACAACAAAAAUCAGAAAUUCAAAAGCCAAAAUGAAGCUCAAGAGAUAAAGAACAAUAAUACCUAAGUGGGGCUGAGUCGUGGUUGGUACUGGCCAGAAAAUACCUGCAAAGCUUCGGAUGGUUCGCCGGAAAACUGGGGAGUUCUUCCUCAAUGUGGUUCUUUGUUCAAACAUCACUAAACCAUCUCAAAAACAUCUAAAUCAUCAUCCUAGGCACUAUCUACAAAUUUAUAAGAAGGUUUCAGGCCUUACCUUCACCAAAGACGACGAGAACUUGCCGGAUUCAAUUUUUGCACAAUGAUGGUAUUGUACAGCAAGGAAGUGAUGGGUCUCAGCCUUGGGUAGGUUCGUGAUGGGAGAUUAUGUGGGUGGUGUUCGUCGAAACGGCAAGUGGUGGUGGUGGUGUGGUCUGUCAUCCGAGAAAGAGAGAGAUAGAUGAGGGAGACAGAGAGAGUGAAGAGUGAGAGAGAAACUAGGGAGAGCUACGGGAAGAGAAGAGAAAAGAUAGCCCGACAGCUCUGGAAAAAGUAGGACGCGUGGCAAGAAGUGAGAGGAGGCUUUGUGUAGGUGUGGGCCUCACGGUCAGAAAUAUAAUUAAAAUAAUAAAAUAUCCUUUUCAAAAAAAAAAUUUAACUAAUA